GCGAUUCUCACUGUGAAACUUGAUCGAGGUUUUCCCUGAAACAGAGCGACGGAGAUGCUCGCAUCUGAGAAGAUUGCCUAAAACCGAGUUGAUUGAAGGUUGUAAACUUCAUAUCUAGGGUUUACCCUCUUUCCAAAUCAGACGAUCGACUCCGAGGUUUGAAUCUGCAAAAUCGAAGCUUGAUUUAAGGUGAGAUUUCCAUUCUUAUGUGAUUUUUUCUUCUUCGUAUGCGUGUUCUUAAUAUUAUGGAA